AUUGAACGCUGGCGGCAUGCUUUACACAUGCAAGUCGAACGGCAGCACAGGGAGCUUGCUCCCGGGUGGCGAGUGGCGCACGGGUGAGUAAUACAUCGGAACGUGUCCUGUUGUGGGGGAUAACUGCUCGAAAGGGUGGCUAAUACCGCAUGAGACCUGAGGGUGAAAGCGGGGGAUCGCAAGACCUCGCGCAAUUGGAGCGGCCGAUGCCCGAUUAGCUAGUUGGUGAGGUAAAGGCUCACCAAGGCGACGAUCCCUAGCUGGUCUGAGAGGAUGACCAGCCACACUGGAACUGAGACACGGUCCAGACUCCUACGGGAGGCAGCAGUGGGGGAAUAUUGGCACAAUGGGCGCAAGCCUGAUGCAGCCAUGCCG
rnacentral:rRNA from 1 species